rnacentral:tRNA from 1 species
AUCUCUAUAACUCAAUGGGAGUAUAUAAUAUUCUGAAUAUUAUAAUAAAUGUUCGAUUCAUUGUAGAGGCC